CACGGAAUUAGCCGGUCCUUAUUCAUGCGGUACCUGCAAAAAGGGACGCGUCCCUCACUUUAUCCCCGCAUAAAAGCAGUUUACAACCCGUAGGGCCGUCCUCCUGCACGCUACUUGGCUGGUUCAGGCUUCCGCCCAUUGACCAAUAUUCCUCACUGCUGCCUCCCGUAGGAGUUUGGACCGUGUCUCAGUUCCAAUGUGGGGGACCUUCCUCUCAGAACCCCUACUGAUCGUCGCCUUGGUGGGCCGUCGCCCCGCCAACCAGCUAAUCAGACGCAUCCCCGUCCGUCACCGCUAAAAAGCUUUACUUCACCUCGGAUGCCGUCAGUGAAGGCCAUGCGGUAUUAGUCUGCCUUUCGGCAGGUUAUCCCGCAGUGACGGGAAGGUUGGAUACGCGUUACUCACCCGUGCGCCGGUCGACGUCCGAAGAGUGCGAGCACUCAACGCCGUUUCCCCUCGACUUGCAUGUGUUAAGCCUGUAGCCAGCGUUCAUCCUGAGCCAGGAUCAAACUCU
rnacentral:rRNA from 1 species